rnacentral:rRNA from 1 species
GACAGAGGGGGCAAGCGUUGCUCGGAAUUACUGGGCGUAAAGGGCGCGUAGGCGGGAUGGCAAGUCGGUCGUGAAAUCCCUCGGCUCAACUGAGGAGCGUCGAUCGAAACUGCCGUUCUUGAGGGUUGCAGAGGAGACUGGAAUUCCCGGUGUAGCGGUGAAAUGUGUAGAUAUCGUAAGGAAGACCAGUGGCGAAGGCGGGUCUCUGGACAGUUCCUGACGCUGAGGCACGAAGGCCAGGGGAGCAAACGGG